rnacentral:rRNA from 1 species
CGUGGGCAACCUGCCUCAUAGAGGGGAAUAGCCUUCCGAAAGGGAGAUUAAUACCGCAUAAGAUUGUAGUAUCGCAUGAUACAGCAAUUAAAGGAGCAAUCCGCUAUGAGAUGGGCCCGCGGCGCAUUAGCUAGUUGGUGAGGUAACGGCUCACCAAGGCGACGAUGCGUAGCCGACCUGAGAGGGUGAUCGGCCACAUUGGGACUGAGACACGGCCCAGACUCCUACGGGAGGCAGCAUG